GUAGACAAAUAGGUUAUGGGAAACUUCUCGACCCCUCCUCUCGCUCCCUCUCUCUCUCUCACUCUCACUCUCUCUCUCUCUCUCUCGCUUAUUCGCUCUCUCCUCUUCGCUCGCGCGCCUGGACUCAGCGCCUCUCCGCGCGCGCAGCCCGCACCGGAGCUGAGCAGCAGCGGCAAAGUUUAAAUGGAAUGAACGGAAAUCGUGCGCGCGCUGUGGGACACCGGUCGCCGCGUUUAAUCACCGAGUCCUGCGUGAGACCUGUCUGGAGAGGGAAAAAUACGACCUGGGAAAUAUGACCAUAACUUACCACUAGAAGAGAGGAGGCAGAAUGGAGCUGGCUACAUUAUCUGCCAAUAAAACCAGCAAAAGGUGAGAGACGAGAUGUGAAAUGGCAUCAAGGAUUGCUCUCUAGCAUUGAGAGUAAAGGUGAAGGGUAUCUAUGGACGACCACUCCCAACCCCAUUCCAGACUUUAAGAGUCCAGUAUUUGAAGACAUGAAAUGAAGAGCCAAAAGUCAAGACCUAGCAUACACCUCCGCCAUUUACUCAUCUUUGCCUGUGUGGACUGAUAACAUCAGUUCCUCUGGAUUAUGUCCCAAGUAUAACAUUAUGGAGCACAAUGGCAAACUUCAACAAGUGAAGUGUACAAGAAUCUGUUUUUUUCUGUUUGUGUUUUUCUUUUAUAAAUCUUUACGAGGAAUAAGAUUUCUUGAAUAUGUUUGAUCUGUGCUGUUUACCCAAUAAAUUGUUUAUUUUUCUCAUAGCACA